UACGAAGGGGGCUAGCGUUGCUCGGAAUCACUGGGCGUAAAGCGCACGUAGGCGGAUUGCUAAGUCAGGGGUGAAUCCUGGAGCUCAACUCCAGAACUGCCCUUGAUACUGGCGGUCUCGAGUCCGGGAGAGGUGAGUGGAACUGCGAGUGUAGAGGUGAAAUUCGUAGAUAUUCGCAAGAACACCAGUGGCGAAGGCGGCUCACUGGCCCGGUACUGACGCUGAGGUGCGAAAGCGUGGGGAGCAAACAGG
rnacentral:rRNA from 1 species